CUGCGGAGGGAUCAUUACUGAGUGAGGGCCUUCGGGCUCGACCUCCAACCCUUUGUGAACACAACUUGUUGCUUCGGGGGCGACCCUGCCGUUUCGACGGCGAGCGCCCCCGGAGGCCUUCAAACACUGCAUCUUUGCGUCGGAGUUUAAGUAAAUUAAACAAAACUUUCAACAACGGAUCUCUUGGUUCUGGCAUCGAUGAAGAACGCAGCGAAAUGCGAUAAGUAAUGUGAAUUGCAGAAUUCAGUGAAUCAUCGAAUCUUUGAACGCACAUUGCGCCCCUUGGUAUUCCGAGGGGCAUGCCUGUUCGAGCGUCAUUUCACCACUCAAGCCUCGCUUGGUAUUGGGCGCCGCGGUCAAUCCGCGCGCCUCAAAGUCUCCGGCUGAGCUGUCCGUCUCUAAGCGUUGUGAUUUCAUUAAUCGCUUCGGAGCGCGGGCGGCCGCGGCCGUUAAAUCUUUCACAAGGUUGACCUCGGAUCAGGUAGGGAUACCCGCUGAACUUAAGCAUA
rnacentral:rRNA from 1 species